CUUCCCUGGCGGGCUGAGGGUCACCAAAGCCCUCCUGUCACUUUCCCUCUGCUUCCCCUGGCCCUGCUUGGAGAGCUUGGCCAGCAGCCUGGCUCUGCAGCUCAGGGUGGGGGCUGUGCCCUGGCACCCUCCCUCUGAGGUGCCGUCCCUCCCCUGCCUCAUUUGCUGCCGCUGACCUUACCGAGUUAAAUUAAAAAGCAAUGUUCUGUGUGCGGCUCCAGCCCCGUGGAGCUUGACUCUGGGAAGACGAAGACAAUUACCGGCCCCUCCGUCUCCCUCUCGUCUGGCUGCCUUAUAAUUUUUUCCCCUGCUGCCUGCUCUUCAGCUCUGAGGAGAGCGGAAGGAGUGGGGACUGGCCACAAGACUGGGCUCAGACCCAAAGCAGAACUUCCCAGGUGGCUUCCCUGGUAUCUCCAUACUUCGCCUGUAGGUCCACUUUCACUCAUCUUCAGUGAAAGCAGGAAGGGCCCAAGGACCACCCUGCAUAACAAAGUUGAAGGAAACAGGAAUGCUCAAAAGCACUGCCCAUCUCCGACCCUGCCGUUCACAGCUUCCUCACCUGGGAUUGUUGCUCAGCGUCCAUGGAUGGACUUCAGAGGCGUGUGUGACAUUUUCCUGAGGUUGGCUGGACAGAAGACACAAUUCUUGAGGUUCAAGGAACUGCUAAAGGAGAACUGUGGCCCCCACGAGUCUGUGAGUCUAGUGAACUGGAAUGUUGACACGUUAUGCUAAGUGGUUUCAUCUAAGCACUGGCCUUAGAUGAUUGAUGACAGCUGUCUGGCCUUGGAGGAGCACUAUGGAAGAAGGAUCUGAGAACUUUGGAAUUCGGGGCACAAGAAGAGGGGCCUAGAUUGGGGAAUUGAAUUUUGGGAAGAGGGAGAAGUGUAGCCCUGGCUUACCUCCUUGUCUCCAGGCCUCCAACACCAGUCGCUAUGCCAGGGCUUGGCACUCUGCCCACCUCAGGUAUCUUCAAGAAGUCUGUGGAUAGAAAGAAGCAGCAGAAGCUGGAGAUCCUUCUUACCGGUGGCAAGAAAUUGCAAAUAGUGCCAUCUUCUUCACUCGUGUCUACGCUGGAUCAGUUAUCACCUUCCCAGUCUACAGAAUAGAAGACAGACCUACGGCACAUGAGACGGUGGCAGAUCCAGAACUGGAGCCCAUGUCUGUUGACUCAUCCUGCAAGACUUUUAAUACUACCCAUGCUUCUGCCUGUCACAUUCAGACUCCUGCUUUACCUGCAAGACUCCCCUAUCAACUUCCUUCCACUCAGUUCUUUUUCCUCCCUCCCUAUUGUCUACUUUAGCCAAACCAAGCUGCUUCCUGGUCUCCUGACUGUGCUACACGUUUUCUGGCCUCUGAAAUGUCCCUUAAGCACUUUCCCUGCCAGGCUGGGAUGACUUCAUUUUGCUCUCCCUUCUUCUCCUUUCUUCCCCUCCGACUCAGCUUCAUAUUCCCUCUUCCAGGAAGCCUUCCUUAAGUAACCUCUUCUGUCUUUGAAUGCUUCUUGGCCCUGCAUCUUUUCAGCCCAGUUGUUGGUUUGUAUUUGCUGCUUUGUUGGUUAAUAAGCAUUCUGAAGUCACUUUAUAGAUAUUUAGAUUCUGUCAAUUUAGUUAGAUUAGGAGCUUCUUAAUGGAAAGGCUUGGAACACACAGGGGGAUAUUAUAUUGUUGCUUGAAUACAGCUGGGAUUGGACAGUCUGAGAAAGUUGAAAUUACUUCUGUAUUUGGGGAGAGGAAAGAAGAAAAGAAGACUGACUUAGCGGUGGAUGGGUCUGGUGAUCCUUCUUAGAGUCAGAGGGGUAUUUGAAGUGACUUCUUAAGGUUAUUUCCAGUCUUGGGGUUCUGUAACCUUGUGAACCAGCUUGGAUAUGCCACAGCCUUAACCUGGUGCUGUUACCAGUUUUGUGGCCUAUGUUAACUAAUAAGACAUCCUGCAACUAGUAGGUGGCAGACUGUUGUGUUCAUUGCAUGUUAUGAAGAAAAAAAUAGCUUGGUGAAAGGCCCUUCCUAUGUGGAAUGCAUUGUUAGGUGGAGCACCUGGCUGCCCCGUGGAUGACCUCAGUUGCCGCCUGGAGGUCUCUACCUAAGGGAAGGGAGGCCCUGAGAGCCAUUUUGACCCAAGUUCAAUUUUCUAGAACAAACAAGCUGAUCUCUUGCUCCAAGGCCCAGUCAAAGAGGCUCCAGAGUGUUUAUUGACUCUUGCAUGUCCCUGCCCUGGAGAACAAACAAACAGCUCAACCUGACUCAUUCCCUCCACCAGCUCGACUCGGUCCCAUUGCUGGGCUUUGCUGGGAAAAAUCCCUCAGACCCUAUGGCGAUAAGAGAGUCAAUGGCUAUGGGUCUCUGGUCAUAUAUUCCUACUCCUCUUUCCCAUAGAACAUUAAUCCUCCCUGGAGAUGCAGAAGACUAGCAGUAACUUUGGAUUCACUGGGCUUGGUCUCUCUCCAUUGCUAGAGGCAAAUUGGCUUGCUUCACUGAUUCAUUCAUUCAAUAAAUAUUUAUUGAAUGCCUACUAUGUGUGAGGCUCCCCUCUCAUGAUUGGGGCUGCCAGUUUUUGCUAUGGAGAAUGCUGAUGCUUCCAUCUUUUAACUAAAUGAUUUGAAAUCCGCCUUUCCUAGCAUCUUGAUAUAAUAAUAAUAAUAAUAAUAAUAAUAAUAAUAAUAAUAAUAGUAAUAAUAAUAAUAAUAGCUUUUCCCUCCUUUACCACUACUGGGAGAAUUUGGUUUCUGAACCCUAAACAUCUCCUUUAAUUAAGCCUUUGAUGGAUCAUUUCUACCUCUUGGGAUAUCCUCACCUUGCUUUUCAUCCAGCCCUGCUCCACAUGUUCCUCCUUUUUU
ensembl:lncRNA